UUCCUACGGGGGGCAGCAGUGGGGAAUAUUGCACAAUGGGGGAAACCCUGAUGCAGCAACGCCGCGUGGGUGAAGGAGCGUUUCGGCGCGUAAAGCCCUGUCAGCGGGGAAGAAGAAAGACGGUACCCGACCAAGAAGCCCCGGCUAACUACGUGCCAGCAGCCGCGGUAAUACGUAGGGGGCAAGCGUUAUCCGGAUUUACUGGGUGUAAAGGGAGCGUAGACGGCAGCGCAAGUCUGGAGUGAAAUGCCGGGGCUCAACCCCGGAACUGCUUUGGAAACUGUGCAGCUAGAGUGCGGGAGAGG
rnacentral:rRNA from 1 species